ACUAGUGAUUGAAACUGCGAAUGGCUCAUUAAAACAGUUAUAAUUUAUUUGAUGAUUUUUUUACAUGGAUAACCGUGGGAAACUGGGGCUAAUACAUGCGUAAAGGUCGAAAGGCUGUAUUUAUUAGUUUCAAAUCAAUAUAACCUAGUUAUUUUGUGAGGAAUCAUAAUAACUUAACGGAGCGCAGCGAUGCGCCGCAUCAUUCAAGUUUCUGCCCUAUCAGCUUUGGAUGGUAGUGUAUUGGACUACCAUGGCUAUAACGGGUAACGGGGAAUUGGGGUUCGAUUCCGGAGAAGGAGCCUGAGAAACGGCUACUAUUUCUAAGGAAGGCAGCAGGCGCGUAAAUUACCCAAUCCUGACUCAGGGAGGUAGUUAAUAGAAAUAACACGUUCGGCUCAUUGAGACUUGAAUUUGUAAUGAACCAAAUUUAGAUCACUUGGUGAAUCCUAUUGGAGGGCAAGUCUGGUGCCAGCAGCCGCGGUAAUUCCAGCUCCAAUAGCGUAUAUUAAAGUUGUUGCAGUUAAAAAGCUCGUAGUUGAAUUUCCGGCUGAUUUCAGCCUGUCUGUAAGGGUGUCGGAUACCGUAAAAAGUUUCUGGCUCACGAACAGACUUUUACUGUGAAAAAUUAGAGUGCUUAAAGCAGGCUUUUGCUUGAAUAUUUCAGCAUGGAAUAAUGAAAGACGACUUCAGUCAUUUUAUUGGUUAUUGACAGAAGUAAUGAUUAACAGAAACAGUUGGGGGCAUUCGUAUUUGAUAGUCAGAGGUGAAAUUCUUAGAUUUAUCAAAGACGAACUAAUGCGAAAGCAUUUGCCAAGAAUGUUUUCAUUAAUCAAGAACGAAAGUUAGGGGAUCCAAGACGAUUAGAUACCGUCGUAGUCCUAACUAUAAACUAUACCGACUAGGGAUUGGAUGGGAUCUCCCCAUUCAGCACCUAAUGAGAAAUCAAAGUCUUUGGGUUCUUGGGGGAGUAUGGUCGCAAGGCUGAAACUUAAAGGAAUUGACGGAAGGGCACUACCAGGAGUGGAUUUUGCGGCUUAAUUUGAUUCAACACGGGAAAACUUACCAGGGCAACAUAUCGAUAGGAUUGACAGCUUGAUAGCGCUUUCUUGAUCCGAUAACUAGUGGUGCAUGGCCGUUCUUAGUUGGUGGAG
rnacentral:rRNA from 1 species